GACGAACGCUGGCGGCGUGCCUAAUACAUGCAAGUAGAACGCUGAAGCGAGGAGCUUACUCUUCUUGGAUGAGUUGCGCACGGGUGAGUAACGCGUAGGUAACCUGCCUUGUAGCGGGGGAUAACUAUUGGAAACGAUAGCUAAUACCGCAUAACAAUGGAUGACACAUGUCAUUUAUUUGAAAGGGGCAAUUGCUCCACUACAAGAUGGACCUGCGUUGUAUUAGCUAGUAGGUGAGGUAAUGGCUCACCUAGGCGACGAUACAUAGCCGGCCUGAGAGGGUGAUCGGCCACACUGAGACGGAGACACGGCCCAGACUCCUACGGGAGGCAGCAGUAGGGAAUCUUCGGCAAUGGGGGCAACCCUGACCGAGCAACGCCGCGUGAGGGAAGAAGGUUUUCGGAUCGUAAAGCUCUGUUGUAAGUCAAGAACGGGUGUGAGAGUGGAAAGUUCACACUGUGACGGUAGCUUACCAGAAAGGGACGGCUAACUACGUG
rnacentral:rRNA from 1 species